CCCUUAGACACUCUAGGCGGCACGCGCGCUACAAUGGGUGGAAGAACGUGUUACUGCCUCCGAAAGGAGGGGUGAAUCACGAAUUCUUGCCCGUGAAUGGGAUAGUUUGUUGCAAUUUUCGGACUUGAACUAGGAAUCCCUUGUAAACAUGCUCAAGAAUAGCGUGUUGAAUACGUCCCUGCCGUUUGUACACACCGCCCGUCGUUUCUUCCGACUGAUACUCAUUGUGAGUUGCAAGGACCCUUUAUUGGGAAAUUGCUGCAAAUGCUUUGUAUUGGAGGAGGAAAAAGUCGUAACA
rnacentral:rRNA from 1 species